CAGCUACCCUAUAGUUGGCUGCCUGGCUUCAGAGCUUUUUUUGAACUUGGAAGACUUCAAGCCCCAACUGAGGAAUCCUUGAUGCUCUGUUGUUUUGUCUUGCUAAAAUGUACAAGAAACUUGCACAGCUCUGUCCUUCAGGCUUAAAAUCAUCCCAGGGAGGUCACUCUAAGUUCCUUUUAAUGUGUGCUGAAGAAAGGGCAGCACAGCUGAAGCCUGAUUUAAAAUCUGAUCUUCUCCCUAAUGUCACAAGGACAUCCUGAGACAAUGGCUGAGGAGCUAUGCACCAGUACCCAGCUGGAUCCCUGAAACUUACAUUGGCAGAUGCAUUAUCAACAGAGACAUCGAUUUAGAGUGAAUUAAAGGAAUUACAAAGAUCAAGAUGAAUUCAGUGAAGCUUCCCAUAGGACUGUUCAAAGAUCUCCAGGCCUGCCAUUCAUGCAUUCAUGUGAGAGAGACACUUUGGGCCUAAGAAAUGAAGG
rnacentral:lncRNA from 1 species